rnacentral:rRNA from 1 species
GACGAACGCUGGCGGCGUGCUUAACACAUGCAAGUCGAACGGAAAGGCCCUGCUUUUGUGGGGUGCUCGAGUGGCGAACGGGUGAGUAACACGUGAGUAACCUGCCCUUGACUUUGGGAUAACUUCAGGAAACUGGGGCUAAUACCGGAUAGGAUCUCCUGCUGCAUGGUGGGGGUUGGAAAGUUUCGGCGGUUGGGGAUGGACUCGCGGCUUAUCAGCUUGUUGGUGGGGUAGUGGCUUACCAAGGCUUUGACGGGUAGUCGGCCUGAGAGGGUGACCGGCCACAUGGGGACUGAGAUACGGCCCAGACUCCUACGGGAGGCAGCAGUGGGGAAUAUUGCACAAUGGGCGGAAGCCUGAUGCAGCAACGCCGCGUGCGGGAUGACGGCCUUCGGGUUGUAAACCGCUUUCGCCUGUGACGAAGCGUGAGUGACGGUAAUGGGUAAAGAAGCACCGGCUAACUACGUG